rnacentral:rRNA from 1 species
ACACAUGCCAAGUCGAGGGGAAACGGGCAUUGAGUGCUUGCACUCUUUGGACGUCGACCGGCGCACGGGUGAGUAACGCGUAUCCAACCUUCCCAUUACUGUGGAUAACCUGCCGAAAGGCAGACUAAAUACCGCAUAGUCUUCGAUGACGGCAUCAGAUUGAAGUAAAGAUUUUAUCGGUAAUGGAUGGGGAUGCGUCUGAUUAGCUUGUUGGCGGGGUAACGGCCCACCAAGGCAACGAUCAGUAGGGGUUCUGAGAGGAAGGUCCCCCACAUUGGAACUGAGACACGGUCCAAACUCCUACGGGAGGCAGCAGUGAGGAAUAUUGGUCAAUGGACGGAAGUCUGAACCAGCCAAGUAGCGUGCAGGAUGACGGCCCUAUGGGUUGUAAACUGCUUUUGUAUGGGGAUAAAGUUAGGGACGUGUCCCUAUUUGCAGGUACCAUACGAAUAAGGACCGGCUAAUUCCGUGCCAGCAGCCGCGGUAAUACGGAAGGUCCAGGCGUUAUCCGGAUUUAUUGGGUUUAAAGGGAGCGUAGGCUGGAGAUUAAGUGUGUUGUGAAAUGUAGACGCUCAACGUCUGAAUUGCAGCGCAUACUGGUUUCCUUGAGUACGCACAACGUUGGCGGAAUUCGUCGUGUAGCGGUGAAAUGCUUAGAUAUGACGAAGAACUCCGAUUGCGAAGGCAGCUGACGGGAGCGCAACUGACGCUUAAGCUCGAAGGUGCGGGUAUCAAACAGG